CGAUUUUAAAAAAAACGACCACGACCCACUCGCGUCCCACGUCCCCUCUCGCAGUCUCCCUCACCUCUCGCUCCCGAUCCCUCCCCUCGAUCUCGUGAGAAAAUCGCCGCCGCCGCUGCCGCCCCCACACUAUCUGCCCCGAUGAACUGCCCAUCUCCAUUGCCGUCCGCCGCCCGUCUCGGUCGCCGUCGCGCAGCCCAUGCACGCCGCCCUUGUACGAUCUGCUCGCCUCCGCUAUCGCAACAGCCUAGGUCGAUCCCCUUAUUGAGCCCAUCUGAUGGCGGCGCCGACCCAUCUUUUGGGCUACAUGCGGCAAUGGCGAACGAGAAGAAAUCAACGUACGCCACCACCAUCGCCGGCUUGCAGGGACCGUUGACCGCUAUGAAGGCCUUUAGUUUGGCACAGAGACGUCCUGGAUCAAAAGGAGAGGCGGCGAGGGCCACAAUGGUCAACAUCACUUCAAUCAUCAGGGAGCAAGCUGAUGGCAUCAAAAAAUCACAUUAACUAUUGGUGGUGACUGUGACUGUGCGGUGCACGCAUCAGUGACACAUCCAAAUCCACUCCACUAAUAAGUUGUCCUCUCCAUUAUAAGAUUGGGUAAAUUUUGGCGGUGGUCACUGGUAUGCCGGGAAGCUUUCAGUUUGGAUCUUGUUGGCGAUUCUCCAUGUAGCCUUGUUGGUUCUGAAUCCAAAGUGCAUGGAAAUCCUAAAGAGUUUGACUCUUUGAGUCAGAGGAAACCAAGGUUAGCAUUAAUCCCCACAAUAACUUGGCCUGCAUGCAGUAAUAUUUUGGGAGUGGAGAAAGAGAGCAAGAAUUCCACAUACAUACGCUCGACAUCUUCAAAAAGGAGAUUUUCAAUGGUCAAUUGGAGGGCUUCUAAACGUUUUUACUUAUGGCUAAUUUUAUCAUGUCAGGAGCCUGCUCUGUUAAUCCACUCAAAACCUUUUGCAUAACAGAGCCAGAGAAUGAAGCCAGUUAUCUCUACCAUGUUGUUUGUCAUUGUGAUUUGAUUUUUAUUUCUUCUGUAGCAACACACUGUACUUAUACCUGUAGAAGAACAACAUUAGUGAUGAAAGCUCUUGGUUUCCCCAGGCACACUCGGAUAUGUAUUGCUCUAGGUGAAAUCUAUGAUGGUAAAAAAGAUUAACUGCAUCGAAUACAAAGUUCCCUAACAUAGCGUAUGUGCACAAGGAUGCCUUUAUCUGAUGGUGAACUACACCUCUUCCAAAAAAUUCACAACCCAAAUGGAAGCCCUGGACUAUCUUGUUUCUGUCAUAGGUGAUGUUUUUAUUCCCUGUUCUGAUGGAAACAUGGCUAAAGUUGUUCAAGGACACCACAUGCAUGUCUAUUUAUGACCUUCCUGAUAUGAAUAUCGUUUCUUCUUGCCACCAUGGAUAUGCAUUAGUAUGACAAGGUUAGCUGGGCCGAAUGUGAGAAGAAAAUAUAAAUAUUUGCGUACACACAGGGUUGUCGUGUAUAGCUCUCAUUUGAAUGCAGACGUUUGUUUUAAAGAAUCGUGACUAUCGUGAGCAAGAAUGAACCCAGCAAAAUUAUUUAUUUAUUUUUCUGUUUUCCUUACGAAACAAUCAAUGGACCGAGUUCCACUAUCAGCAAAAUAAUUACUGAAGGUUAACUGAGAAGUGUAUAUCUUGCAACUGUAUGUUAAUGGACUUCCACAUUGGUUCAUCAUUCCAAACAACAUCAACUGUUGGGACUCUGGCAUAUAUUUCUCAUCAAUAUGGUCGCAAGGUAUAAUCCAUUCUCUUUCUGCUUUAAACCAUCCCAUGCAUACUCUGCCAUAUGUUGCCUGAUUAUUUCAUUUUGCUAGGCCAUAAAAGCUUUACUUGCUUUCCGAAUCUUACAUCCACCUUUUGUUGGCAUGAUUUGUGCAUAGUCUUUAGGCGCAACCGUUUAAAUAUUUUAUGUUUUAUUUGCUGAAGCACUACUAAUUUGUCUUUGGAUGGCAAUAGAUGAUGUGUGGAUGUGGGCCCUUCCUUUAUGCGAUGUUGGUUGGUACAUACACUUUCGAUCCAUAAGAUCACAAGAAUUUUGAAAUGACGACUGACAAGUCAGGUGUUCAGUGUUCAAGGAUCUUAUUUGCCAACACGGGCUAUGAUCUCGACAUAGACAACGGCGGAGAGAUAAUAUAUGCUCUGUAUCUUGUAAAUAUAUGUGCAGAAGUAGCUGCAGCCUUCCACCUUAUGAACAAGUUCUGUCAAUGGUCAGGAGGUGCGAGCCCAUCAAAGAUUAUGUUCAAGGCUACAACUUGAAUCUGAAUCUCUAUUGCUAUGUAAAUAUGUGGUUCGUGCCAAGAAAUAUCAGUUAGUUGUACGAUUCUAUUUUUGGUGUUCCUUUCUGUUAAAAGUUAAAACCGUAAGUCAAAUAUGUUCUUACCAGAGUCAAUUGCAUGAACAUUGAACAAGUCAUAACUGAACGGUGUAUCGACCACCCAUCCUGUAUUACAAGAUGGAAACAUAUAUACAUCAUUUGUACAUGGCGAGCGUGGAGUGAAAACCAUCCAGAUACCAGUCUGCCAGCCAGUCCAGGUUCUGAGCGGGGCAAGCGGGUGUGCGAGCGGUAAGCAUCAGACUAUCCCCAUUAUAUUCUGAGCAAUCCAUAGGAAAGUAAUUAUCUUAUAUGCGAAUCUUUUUUCAAAUUAAAUUAAAUUGCAGUUGUCUUAAGUCCAGUAUAAAAACCCAUUAGGUUGUAACUACCAUUACUGAUCAGUACAAGAGUUUUAGUUUCUUGUCAGAUUUGCGUAGCUCUUGUGUCGGGAAGAAGAGGAUGGUUGUUUUGUUGGUAGUUAUAUUUUUUCUAACAUUGAAAAAUAAAAAAGAGUUAAUGAUCUCCGAGGAGGAGCACACCAGUGCCAUUAAUUAGGAAAUUAGCAAAGUUGCUAAGAUCAGAGAAUAGCUUGACAUUGCUGUGCUUCUUCAUGGACAACCUGAGGUCAACAUCCUUCUAUUAAUAAUGUUUAGUGUUAACAAAACUUUGUGCCAUGCUUGAGAAAAUCAAUGUUAUUUUCUUAUAAUUGACAAUGUUUGAUUCUACAUUUAGUUGGGUUGAUAUGUAUUUGAUAGAGGAACCAUAUGGUUGAGUAUUUCUGUGAGCAGCUCACUGGUUUUGCAUUCACUGCCAAUGGGUGGGUACAAACUUUUGGAUCAAGGUGUGCAAGACAUCAAUUAUCUAUGCAGACGUGAGCCACCUCCCACGGCAGUGUUCUGGUCCAAGAGCCAAGUGCGGUAUGAGCUUGAGGAGAGCUGCGAGGUGGGCAUGGUACACUGCUGAUGGCUGCCAGAGGAGGUUGUGCAGCAGUUGUGGUCGAGGCGGACAGCAUCAUCAUAUGCGCAUGGUUGGUGGAUUCUUCCUUGGACUGUGAGGGAUUGUUGAAUUUGUCAUGACUUAGAAGAAGUGGAUGACAAUGCUGCAAGCCAUUAGAAGUUAGGGACGAUGGGAAUGACUAUGACAAUUUGGCGAGUUACACAAAAGGCAUAUGGAUUUGGAGCAAGGUGAAAAUGUAAUAGCUGAAGCGGUGUGACUGAUGAUAUAUUCAUUUGUUUAUUUGUUUGUUCGUAGGUUAGGGAUGAUAGAAAUUAGGAUGUAAGUCAGGGAUGAUGCGAAUGACUACGACAAUUCUACGAACUUGAAGAAAACAUAGGAGGAUUUGUAGUGCGGUAACAAAUGACUCAAUGACUGAAGCGUUGAAGUUGAAUGGCCUUGCGAUAGAUCACCUGUUAGCCCGUGGCAACGCACGGGCAUUCAACUAGUGAUCUGUAGUGUCAUCUGCCUUUCUCUCUUCGGAGCGCCUCGCCGUUGUGCAUGUGA